AGCUUUGUGCAGUGGCAGUAUCGUAGCCAAUGAGGUUUAUCCGAGGCACGAUUGUUGCUAAUUAAAAGUAUAGCAUUUUUAUCUUUUAAAGUGAGGCUAUGGGAAAAAAAAAAAAAGUGAGGCUAUGGAAAGUCUUCUAAAAUUAUUGUCCCCUUUCGCAAGG
rnacentral:snRNA from 1 species